GUAGUCUGCAACUCGACUACAUGAAGCUGGAAUCGCUGUAAUCGCGAAUCAGAAUGUCGCGGUGAAUACGUUCCCGGGUCUUGUACACACCGCCCGUCACACCAUGGGAGUUGGGAAUGCCCGAAGCCGGUGACCUAACCGAAAGGGAGGAGCCGUCGAAGGCAGGCUUGAUAACUGGGGUGAAGUCGUAACAAGGUAGC
rnacentral:rRNA from 1 species